AUUGAACGCUGGCGGCAGGCCUAACACCUGCAAGUCGAACGAGUGGCGGAAGGGUGAGUCAUGACUGGGAAACUGCCUGAUGGAGGGGGAUAACUACUGGAAACGGUAGCUAAUACCGCAUACCAUCGGAUCUGCCCAGAUGGGAUUAGCUAGUAGGUGAGGUAAAGGCGCACCCAUGCGAUGAUCCCUAGCUGGUCUGAGAUGAUGACCAGCCACACGGGAACUGAGACACGGUCCAGACUCCUACGGGAGGCAGCAGUGGGGAAGAUUGCACAAUGGGCGCAAGCCUGAUGCAGCCAUGCCGCGUGUAUGAAGAAGGCCUUCGGGUUGUAAAGUACUUUCAGCGGGGAGGCGUUACCCGCAGAAGAAGCACCGGCUAACUCCGUGCCAGCAGCCGCGGUAAUUC
rnacentral:rRNA from 1 species